rnacentral:rRNA from 1 species
CUACGGGGUGCACCAGUUAGGAAACUUCUACAAUGUACGAAAGUAUGAUAGAGCAAGCCAGAGUGAUUCUCUAAUAAUUGAGAAUCUUUUAUGCGAUGUAAAAAUUCGCAUGAAUAAGGACUGGGAAAGACUGGUGCCAGCCGCCGCGGUAAUACCAGCGGUCCAAGUCGCAGCCAUUUUUAUUGGGUCUAAAACAUCCGUAGCUCGUUUCGUCAGUCUUUUGUGAAAUCUAGCCUCUCAAGGGUUAGGCGGGCAAGAGAUACUGCGGAGCUAGAGAUCGGGAGACGUAAGAAGUACGCAUAGGGUAGCGGUCAAAUGUGUUGAUCCUUUGUGGACUAACGAUAGCGAAGGCAUCUUACGAGAACGAAUCUGACAGUGAGGGAUGAAGGCUAGGGGCGCAAAACGGAUUAGAUACCCUUGUAGUC